rnacentral:lncRNA from 1 species
UGCUGGACUUCCUGACGCUGACAAGGCAAAGAAGAGAAAUAAGCAAGGGCACUUUUUUGAAUGGUAUCCAAACAACGAUGUGAGUGUUCUUUCUGAGAGUGAGCAAAUGGACCAUUAUAAAGUCAAGACCACUUGGUUAUGAAGGGCACCUUUCAUUUAUUGAAUGGGUAGCCACACAGCACUGCGGAAUAUUUCAUAUCGACUUGUGUCAUCACACACCAGAAAUGAGGUGUACUCAAGGUUAGAUUAUUUAUAGCCC